rnacentral:tRNA from 2 species
GCACCCGUAGCUCAAUUGGAUAGAGUACAUGACUACGGAUCAUGAGGUUAGGGGUUCGACUCCUCUCGGGUGCGCCA